AGACCUGCAGAGGUGUAGAGGUCAAGAAGAGGCCCAUGAUUGAGUACUCAAGGACUGAAGAAUAUUAUGAGAAUCAGAGUGGAGAAGGAUACGUUUUCAAAAAGAUGCUAGACAGAUAAUACCUGAAUAUCUAUUAUCAUAUAUAUAUAUUUUUUGUUGUGAUCAUAGAAGGUUAGGAAGUCGUCACUGCCUGUGCAGUUGCAGGAGGGAGAACAAGUUUGGAAAUCAACA
rnacentral:lncRNA from 1 species